CGCGUGAGCGUCGUGCGUGCGCGCCCCCGCCGCCGCCGGUGCUGCUCCGCCGCCGCCGCCGCCGCCGCCGCCCGCCGCCCGCCGCCCGCCGCCACCGAAGAGCCGCCCGCGGAGCCGGCGGGGGGCGCCGCAGCUGACCUACCAUGGCCGACCAGAGACAGCGCUCACUGUCCACCUCCGGGGAGUCUCUGUACCAUGUGCUCGGACUCGACAAGAACGCCACUUCAGACGACAUUAAAAAGUCCUAUCGGAAACUUGCCUUGAAAUACCACCCUGACAAGAACCCCGAUAACCCCGAGGCCGCAGACAAGUUCAAGGAGAUCAACAACGCCCACGCCAUCCUGACGGACGCCACCAAGAGGAACAUCUACGACAAAUACGGCUCGCUGGGGCUCUACGUGGCCGAGCAGUUCGGGGAGGAGAACGUCAACACCUACUUCGUGCUCUCCAGCUGGUGGGCCAAGGCCCUGUUCGUCGUCUGCGGGCUGUUCACGUGCUGCUACUGCUGCUGCUGCCUCUGCUGCUGCUUCAACUGCUGCUGCGGCAAGUGCAAGCCGCGGGCGCCCGAGGGCGAGGAGACCGAGUUCUACGUGUCCCCCGAGGACCUGGAGGCGCAGCUGCAGUCCGACGAGCGGGGAGGGCACUGACUGUGCGGGCGUGUUUGUGGUGGCAGCUGGGACUGUGUGUGAACUGGACCUGGAGAGGCCACAGACACGCCCAUCGUCAUCCAGCCAGCCUCUGCCACAGAGACCACCCAGCUCACGGCUGACUCCCACCCCAGCUACCACACCGACGGUUUUAACUAAGUCCAGAGAAGCCGUGACGAGCAAUGGUCAGCGCCCGGCCACGGCCACCUUAGAAUCAUGAACUGUAGUCCCGCCUCUGGGCCUCCCACCCGUCCAUCCCGACAGUCCAGUCGAGUGCGUAGCAUGCGGUGUUGAAAGCUCCCGCUGCGGCCUCCUCUCCUCCCCUGAGUAGCAUGUCUGGGUCCGUCCCUGUGUCUGUGGACUUGUCGCAGCCUGACCGUGGGCACCGGACUGUGGAGCUGCCAAGUGGGUGUGGUCAGCUGGUGCCUGUCUUCCCCGUGCUCGUGGACUGGAGUCGUGGGUCUGGUCCACGCUCUGCCAUCCUGUGGACUCUGUCCUCGGGGCAGUCGACCUGGGCAGGGAUGGGCUUCGAUGGUGAUUCUUCGUGAGAGCUGUCGGUGGUGUUCUCCCGUCCCCUCUGUCUCUCGGACUCGCCCCAGGCCAUCUGGGCGGGUGGGCAGAGGGUCAUUCCGAGCUGAGGCUACCCUCCCCCGCCCACUCGCCACUCGCCUCGCCUCUCGCCUCUGGCUGCGUCUCCACAUUCCUGCCGCCUGCCCGCCUGUGCUGUCGCCCCGUCCUGCCCUCGAAGCCCACGCGUGGCGCAGGUCUGCGUGCUGUGAGCCGGUGCCUCACGGCCCUUGGCUCUCCCCGGCCCUGCCUGCCGCCUGCUCCCCUCCCGGCAGGCCCUGCAGAGUCCUGGAGAAGGGUUCUGCCCUAGGGAUUGGGACCUCUGCUCCAUGCUGGACAUCUGCUGGCCCUGCCUGCCCCCUGACUCAGCAGCUUCUCCCUGCAUCUCUCUGCCACUGCACACAUCCCCCACGAGACCCCCAUGGCCCCGAGGGUUGCUCCCUGCAGAGCCAACGCCCCCUGCGGGGGCUGCAGUCACCAAAGGACUUGAGCGGUGAGGAGGCCAGAGUGGGCAAUGUGGGGUCCGGGCGGGUGGGCAUGUGGGGCCACGAGGGCAGGCUGCCGCUGGUCUGUGCCUCUUGUUUUGUCCUGUUCAAUUUUGUUGAUCAUUAAAAUUGUUGUGAGGACCUGA